rnacentral:rRNA from 1 species
AUUGAACGCUGGCGGCAGGCCUAACACAUGCAAGUCGAGCGGAUGAAGGGAGCUUGCUCCUGGAUUCAGCGGCGGACGGGUGAGUAAUGCCUAGGAAUCUGCCUGGUAGUGGGGGAUAACGUCCGGAAACGGGCGCUAAUACCGCAUACGUCCUGAGGGAGAAAGUGGGGGAUCUUCGGACCUCACGCUAUCAGAUGAGCCUAGGUCGGAUUAGCUAGUUGGUGGGGUAAAGGCCUACCAAGGCGACGAUCCGUAACUGGUCUGAGAGGAUGAUCAGUCACACUGGAACUGAGACACGGUCCAGACUCCUGCGGGAGGCAGCAGUGGGGAAUAUUGGGCAGUGGGCGAAAGCCUGAUCCAGCCAUGCCGCGUGUGUGAAGAAGGUCUUCGGAUUGUAAAGCACUUUAAGUUGGGAGGAAGGGCAGUAAGUUAAUACCUUGCUGUUUUGACGGUACCAACAGAAUAAGCACCGGCUAACUUCGUG